rnacentral:rRNA from 1 species
UACAGAGACUGCAAGCGUUAUUCGGAUUCACUGGGCGUAAAGGGUGCGCAGGCGGCCAAGUGUGUGAGGCGUGAAAGCCUGGAGCUUAACUCCAGAAUUGCACCUCAAACUACAUGGCUAGAGCAUUGGAGAGGGUAGCGGAAUUCACGGUGUAGCAGUGAAAUGCGUAGAUAUCGUGAGGAACACCAGUGGCGAAGGCGAGUCCCUGGACAACACCUGACACUGAGGCACGAAAGCUAGGGGAGCAAACAGG